GGGGAAUAUUGGACAAUGGGGGGAACCCUGAUCCAGCCAUGCCGCGUGUGUGAAGAAGGCCUUAUGGUUGUAAAGCACUUUAAGCGAGGAGGAGGCUCCCGUAGCUAAUAUCUACGGAGAGUGGACGUUACUCGCAGAAUAAGCACCGGCUAACUCUGUGCCAGCAGCCGCGGUAAUACAGAGGGUGCGAGCGUUAAUCGGAUUUACUGGGCGUAAAGCGUGCGUAGGCGGCUUUUUAAGUCGGAUGUGAAAUCCCCGAGCUUAACUUGGGAAUUGCAUUCGAUACUGGGAAGCUAGAGUAUGGGAGAGGAUGGUAGAAUUCCAGGUGUAGCGGUGAAAUGCGUAGAGAUCUGGAGGAAUACCGAUGGCGAAGGCAGCCAUCUGGCCUAAUACUGACGCUGAGGUACGAAAGCAUGGGGAGCAAAC
rnacentral:rRNA from 1 species